rnacentral:rRNA from 1 species
AUUGAACGCUGGCGGCAGGCUUAACACAUGCAAGUCGAACGGUGAACGAGGGAGCUUGCUCCUUCCGGAUCAGUGGCGAACGGGUGAGUAACACGUGAGCAAUCUGCCCCGAACUCUGGGAUAAGCGCUGGAAACGGCGUCUAAUACCGGAUACGACGCGCGAAGGCAUCUUCUGCGCGUGGAAAGAAUUUCGGUUCGGGAUGAGCUCGCGGCCUAUCAGCUAGUUGGUGAGGUAACGGCUCACCAAGGCGACGACGGGUAGCCGGCCUGAGAGGGUGACCGGCCACACUGGGACUGAGACACGGCCCAGACUCCUACGGGAGGCAGCAGUGGGGAAUAUUGCACAAUGGGCGCAAGCCUGAUGCAGCAACGCCGCGUGAGGGACGACGGCCUUCGGGUUGUAAACCUCUUUUAGUAGGGAAGAAGCGAAAGUGACGGUACCUGCAGAAAAAGCACCGGCUAACUACGUGCCAGCCGCCGCGGUAACAC